CAAGACGAUCCAGCGCGUAUAGCUGCCUUCGCAUAUAUUUAUGGUCAUUAACCUUGAAUAUUUGAGGGAUGACCUCAUUUAAUCUCCAGUAGCAAUUUUGACCUGUUAUGGGAGGAGUUAUGCGCCUGGAUCGUCUUAC
rnacentral:ncRNA from 1 species